rnacentral:rRNA from 1 species
AUACGGAGGAUGCGAGCGUUAUCCGGAUUUAUUGGGUUUAAAGGGUGCGUAGGUGGUAGAUUAAGUCAGCGGUGAAAGUUUGUCGCUCAACGAUAAAAUUGCCGUUGAUACUGGUUUACUUGAGUAUAGUUGAAGUAGGCGGAAUGCGUGGUGUAGCGGUGAAAUGCAUAGAUAUCACGCAGAACUCCGAUUGCGAAGGCAGCUUACGAAGUUAUAACUGACACUGAAGCACGAAAGCGUGGGUAUCAAACAGGAUUAGAUACCCUGGUAGUCCACGCAGUAAACGAUGAUUACUAGCUGUUUGCGAUAUACAGUAAGCGGCCAAGCGAAAGCAUUAAGUAUUCCACCUGGGGAGUACGCCGGCAACGGUGAAACUUAAAUGAAUUGGCGGGG